rnacentral:rRNA from 1 species
CACUCCUGCGGGAGGCAGCAGUGGGGAAUAUUGCACAAUGGGCGCAAGCCUGAUGCAGCCAUGCCGCGUGUAUGAAGAAGGCCUUCGGGUUGUAAAGUACUUUCAGCGGGGAGGAAGGCAAUACGGUUAAUAACCGUGUUGAUUGACGUUACCCACAGAAGAAGCACCGGCUAACUCCGUGCCAGCAGCCGCGGUAAUACGGAGGGUGCAAGCGUUAAUCGGAAUUACUGGGCGUAAAGCGCACGCAGGCGGUCUGUCAAGUCGGAUGUGAAAUCCCCGGGCUCAACCUGGGAACUGCAUUCGAAACUGGCAGGCUUGAGUCUUGUAGAGGGGGGUAGAAUUCCAGGUGUAGCGGUGAAAUGCGUAGAGAUCUGGAGGAAUACCGGUGGCGAAGGCGGCCCCCUGGACAAAGACUGACGCUCAGGUGCGAAAGCGUGGGGAGCAAACAGGAUUAGAAACCCGUGUAGUCCCA